ACGAGCGCUGGCGGCGUGCUUAACACAUGCAAGUCGAACGGAAAGGCCCUGCUUUUGUGGGGUGCUCGUGUGGCGAACGGGUGAGUAACACGUGAGUAACCUGCCCUUGACUUUGGGAUAACUUCAGGAAACUGGGGCUAAUACCGGAUAGGAGCUCCUGCUGCAUGGUGGGGGUUGGAAAGUUUCGGCGGUUGGGGAUGGACUCGCGGCUUAUCAGCUUGUUGGUGGGGUAGUGGCUUACCAAAGCUUUGACGGGUAGCCGGCCUGAGAGGGUGGCCGGCCACGUUGGGACUGGGAUGCGGCCCAGACUCCUACGGGAGGCAACAGUGGGGAAUAUUGCACAAUGGGCGGAGGCCUGAUGCAGCAACGCCGCGUGCGGGAUGACGGCCUUCGGGUUGUAAACCGCUUUCGCCUGUGACGAAGCGUGAGUGACGGUAAUGGGUAAAGAAGCACCGGCUAACUACGUG
rnacentral:rRNA from 1 species